rnacentral:rRNA from 1 species
GACGAACGCUGGCGGCGUGCUUAACACAUGCAAGUCGAACGCUGAAGCCUGGUGUUUGCACUGGGUGGAUGAGUGGCGAACGGGUGAGUAAUAUGUGAGUAACCUGCCCUUGACUCUGGGAUAAGCCUGGGAGACUGGGUCUUAUACUGGAUACGUCAUGCCACUGCAUGGGGGUGUGUGUGAAUGGGUUUAUUGGUUUUGGAUGGGCUAACGGCCUAUCAGCUUGUUGGUGGGGUAAUGGCCUACCAAGGCGACGAUGGGUAGCCGGCCUGAGAGGGUGACCGGCCACACUGGGACUGAGACACGGCCCAGACUCCUACGGGAGGCAGCAGUGGGGAAUAUUGCACAAUGGGCGGAAGCCUGAUGCAGCGACGCCGCGUGAGGGAUGACGGCCUUCGGGUUGUAAACCUCUUUCAGCACGGAAGAAGCGAGAGUGACGGUACGUGCAGAAGAAGCGCCGGCUAACUACGUG